UAGCCUGGCCAACAUGAUGAAACCCCUGUC
rnacentral:piRNA from 1 species